UGGGGAAUAUUGCACAAUGGGCGCAAGCCUGAUGCAGCCAUGCCGCGUGUAUGAAGAUGGCCUUCGGGUUGUAAAGUACUUUCAGUCGGGAGGAAGGUGUCAAGGUUAAUAACCUUGGCAAUUGACGUUACCGACAGAAGAAGCACCGGCUAACUCCGUGCCAGCAGCCGCGGUAAUACGGAGGGUGCAAGCGUUAAUCGGAAUUACUGGGCGUAAAGCGCACGCAGGCGGUUGAUUGAGUCAGAUGUGAAAUCCCCGGGCUUAACCCGGGAAUUGCAUCUGAUACUGGUCAGCUAGAGUCUUGUAGAGGGGGGUAGAAUUCCAUGUGUAGCGGUGAAAUGCGUAGAGAUGUGGAGGAAUACCGGUGGCGAAGGCGGCCCCCUGGACAAAGACUGACGCUCAGGUGCGAAAGCGUGGGGAGCAAACAGG
rnacentral:rRNA from 1 species